AAGACAGCUGAAUGAUAGUCGGGCUGAAGACUCUACUUGACUAGCUGAGAGGAGGUGCAUGGCCGUCGUCAGUUCGUACUGUGAAGCAUCCUGUUAAGUCAGGCAACGAGCGAGACCCACGCCAACAGUUGCCAGCUCGUCCUCCGGGAUGGUGGGGACACUGUUGGGACCGCCUCUGCUAAGAGAGGAAGGAAUGGGCAACGGUAGGUCAGCAUGCCCCGAAUUAUCCGGGCUACACGCGGGCUACAAUGGUCAGGACAAUGGGCAUCAACACCGAAAGGUGAAGGCAAUCUCUUAAACCUGUCCUUAGUUCGGAUUGUGGGCUGCAACUCGCCCACAUGAAGCUGGAAUCUGUAGUAAUCGCGUCUCAAAAUGGCGCGGUGAAUAUGUCCCUGCCCCUU
rnacentral:rRNA from 1 species